GGCGGCAUGGAUUAGGCAUGCAAGUCGUGCGCGAAACGUAGCAAUACGUGGAGAGCGGCGAAAGGGAGAGGAAUACGUGGGAACCUACCUCGGGGUCUGGAAUAGCGGCGGGAAACUGCCGGUAAUGCCAGAUAACGUCCCCGGACCAAAGGUGUGAUUCCGCCUGGAGAUGGGCCCACGUCCUAUCAGCUUGUUGGUGUGGUAACGGCGCACCAAGGCUAAGACGGGUAUGGGGUGUGAGAGCAUGCCCCCACUCACUGGGACUGAGACACUGCCCAGACACCUACGGGUGGCUGCAGUCGAGAAUCUUCGGCAAUGAGCGCAAGCUUGACCGAGCGAUGCCGCGUGCGGGAUGAAGGCCCUCGGGUUGUAAACCGCUGUCGUAGGGGAGUAAUGGUCAGGGGGUUCUCCCUCUGAUUUGAACAAUCCUAGGAGGAAGGACGGGCUAAGUUCGUGCCAGCAGCCGCGGUAAGACGAACCGUCCAAACGUUAUUCGGAAUCACUGGGCUUACAGAGUUCGUA
rnacentral:rRNA from 1 species